rnacentral:rRNA from 1 species
GACGAACGCUGGCGGCGUGCCUAAUAAAGGAAAGUUGAGCGAUGAAGAUUGGUGCUUGACGGAAUUUGAAGAGCAGAGAAAGGGUGAGUAAAGCGUGGGGAAUAUGUCUUUGAGCGGGGGACAACAUUUGGAAACGAAUGCUAAUACCGCAUAAUAACUUUAAACAUAAGUUUUAAGUUUGAAAGAUGCAAUUGCAUCACUCAAAGAUGAUCCCGCGUUGUAUUAGCUAGUUGGUGAGGUAAAGGCUCACCAAGGCGAUGAUACAUAGCCGACCUGAGAGGGUGAUCGGCCACAUUGGGACUGAGACACGGCCCAAACUCCUACGGGAGGCAGCAGUAGGGAAUCUUCGGCAAUGGACGAAAGUCUGACCGAGCAACGCCGCGUGAGUGAAGAAGGGUUUCGGAUCGUAAAACUCUGUUGGUAGAGAAGAACGUUGGUGAGAGUGGAAAGCUCAUCAAGUGACGGUAACUACCCAGAAAGGGACGGCUAACUACGUG